rnacentral:rRNA from 1 species
UACAGAGGUCCCAAGCGUUGUUCGGAUUCACUGGGCGUAAAGGGUGCGUAGGUGGCCAGGUAAGUUUGGUGUGAAAGCUCGGAGCUUAACUCCGAAAAGUCAUUGAAUACUAUCUGGCUGGAGGGUCGGAGGGGAGACUGGAAUUCUCGGUGUAGCAGUGAAAUGCGUAGAUAUCGAGAGGAACACCAGUGGCGAAGGCGAGUCUCUGGGCCGAUACUGACGCUGAGGAGCGAAAGCGUGGGGAGCGAACAGG